UAUGCAUGAAAUAAAAGUUUCAUAGAAAAAAAUUACAACUUCUUUUGAUCUUUUUUAUAUUUUUCCACAGGUUAAUGAAAUGUAGUAAAUUAAGAAGAGGUUACUACUGAAAUAGAGAUAAUUAGGGCAUAUUUAAAUUUAUGUCGUUUUCCUCUUUGCAAUGGAAUGACCCAUAUGUAUAUAGUUAGUAUAAUUUAAGAAAGUAUCGCACAAAUUUGUCAAAAUGACUGUGCGAACUAUCUUAUGGACAUGAUCAUCCAAUUUCCGAAAGCGGCGAAAAAAACCCAUUAAAAAAAAACAGUAUUUGUUUCAAUAGCAAAGCAUCGUUGCUUUUAAAAAAAACCUAAUCAAAUUCAAAUGUAAAAAUAUUUGUUUCAAAGGUUUCGUAUUACAUUUUCUUUCGAUUACGUUUUCCACAUGUAAAAGUAUUUGCCACAACAAUUUCGCAUUUCUAAUGACUGUUUCUCCAUACGACGACAUUGAAGUUGACGUUUACGUUGUUCCAUCGAUCAUUCUAGCAGAAACACGUUUUGCGGCGGUAGCAAUUUUCAUUUGUGGAUUAUAGAUAAAUGUUUGUACUACAAACACAAAUUUUAGUGAAAGUGAAUAUUUUAAAACAUUUUACGCUUAGUGAGGCUGUGCAAAAGGAACUUAGUUUGCAUUUUCAUUGGUCUUCCUGCUGCAUGACGCGCUGCUCAACGACUCCGUGCAAAAGUUGAUUUUCCAGUGCAUUUUAAUUUGAGGCGACAUUUUUGCGUGAAAGGACUAUUCCAAAGUAACGCUGUGCGACAGGUGAUUUUCCAGUGAUUUUUUUAAAUUAUCAGUAUGAGUGAUGAAGUGAUACCAUCGACGUCUACGGAGCUGUCAUUAUUUGCCGAGCAACGUCCGUUGGAAGAUGAGUUCCCUACAACCAAAAAUGUCAAAAAUCAGUCAGUCAGAUAAACUGAACAUGGCAUAUUACGACGCCAUGCUUGGUGCAAGUGAUGCAAGUAAUGUCGAUUUCUUCUGUUGUGUGAUUUUCGUCAUUAAUUUCAUGUUUUUUUUUUUUUAUUUAGAUUGCAGGCAUUAUUUUUUAUUAUCUUAUUGCAUGCAGUAAUAACACCGCACUAUGUAACGAAAUGUCGAUUUCGUGCGAUAAAGUCCACUUUGAAUAUUUUAUAUUUUCCUUAAUAUCUUAAUUAAAUCUAUAAACCGAUAUUAUUUUUAGCUUAAUUCUCAAAUUUCUUGAAAUUUUAUUAUUUAUUCUCCAGGUAACAAGCCCUCAAAGUUUGCCGAAAUUACUCAAAUCAGAUAUUAAUUUUCCUAUCGUAAAAAAAACAUCGACUUAAUUCCUUUUUUUCUAUUAAUAUAUGCCAGUUAUGUUAUUUAUGUUAAAAGUGUUUGUGUUGCAAAUCAAUAUUUCAGCAAUUCAUUAUCAGGGCUCUUUUUCGAUUUGCAGUCGUAAUUUGUAUAGAAUUAUCUUUGCAAGCCUGUAGUCUUCAUAAAGGCUAACGAAAAAUAAUAAUUUUUUGCAUACGUAUUAGUAAUAGUAUAUAUUAUUUAAUCAUAAAGAGUUUUCUUGAAUCCCUUUGCUCUCGUUAAAUUAGAAGUCGUACAGUGCUUAAUUUUUAUUUUUAUGAAGCUUUUACCCGCGGGUUUCCCUCCUCGUCUUUAUACAAAUAUGAAAAAAACUUUAUGUAACGAUGUUUAAUUUUAUUUCUUCUCUAAUUUUGCUAUAGGAGAAUACGGAAGGACAGUUGUAUAGCUUGGGUGAUUACACCCAAUAUAUGAAAUAUAAUAAUAACUUUUUGGCACAGCAGGUGUUUUUAUCAUUUACAUUAAAACAUCUCCAAUAAAUAAUAUAUCGUCGUUUAAAGUACAAACCCGCGUAUCAACAAACCGCCAAUCGAAUUUCUGGCAGGUAUAUUUCAGGACGAA